rnacentral:rRNA from 1 species
AUGGCGGAGGCACGCAGGCUGUUCGAUCAGAUGCCUGUGAGGGAUCUGGUGUCGUGGAACACGCUGAUUGGCGGCUAUGUGCGAAGGGGCCUACCUGGGGAGGCCUUGGAGGUGUUCUGGAGGAUGGCCGAGGAUGGGACGCUGGCGCCUGACGAGGUGACGAUGAUUGGGGUCGUGUCAGGGUGCGGGCAGCUGCGGGAUCUGGAGCUUGGGAAGAGGUUCCAUGGGUAUGUGGAGAGCAAUGGAGUGAGGUGCACUGUGAGGCUGAUGAAUGUGCUAAUGGAUAUGUAUGUCAAAUGCGGCGAUUUGGAGCGGGCCAAGUCCGUGUUCGAGAGGAUUGAUGGCAAAACGGUUGUUUCGUGGACAACCAUGAUUGUUGCGUAUACAAAGUUCGGGCUGAUGGACGAUGCGAGGAGGGUGUUUGAUGAGAUGCCUGAAAGGGACGCAUUCCCGUGGAAUGCGCUGAUGGCCGGUUAUGUGCAGUGUAAGCAGGGCAAGGAGGCUCUUGGAUUGUUUCAUGAGAUGCAGGAAGCAAAGGUGAGGCCUGAUGAGAUUACCAUGGUCAAUAUUUUAUCGGCUUGCUCGCAGCUUGGAGCUCUAGAAAUGGGUAUGUGGGUUCACCAUUACAUCGACCGACACCGGCUUUCACUUAGUGUCACACUAGGCACAAAUCUAGUUGACAUGUAUGCAAAGUGUGGGAACAUCGAGAAGGCCAUCCAUGUUUUCAAAGAUUUACCGGAGAAAAAUGCGCUCACGUGGACAGCAAUGUUAUGCGGCCUGGCAAAUCAUGGACGUGCUGAUGAGGCAAUACAGUACUUCCGUAGAAUGAUAGAGCUUGGAUUGCAGCCUGAUGAGAUUACAUUCAUAGGGGUUCUGUCUGCAUGUUGUCAUGCUGGCCUGGUUAAAGAAGGCCGUGAAUUUUUUUCCCUACUGGUCUCAAAAUAUCACCUUGAGAGGAAAAUGAAACAUUAUUCAUGUAUGAUAGACUUGCUAGGCAGAGCAGGUCAUUUAGAUGAAGCAGAGCAUCUAGUAAACACCAUGCCAAUGGAGCCUGAUGCAGUAGUGUGGGGUGCUCUCUUCUUUGCUUGUAGACUGCAUGGUAAUAUUACUCUGGGUGAAAGGGCAGCAAUGAAAUUAGUAGAGCUUGACCCGAGCGACAGUGGAAUAUAUGUGCUACUGGCUAACAUGUAUGUAGAGGCAGGAAUGAAGAAGAAGGCUGAUAAAGUGAGGGUGAUGAUGAGGCACUUGGGAGUGGAAAAAGUUCCUGGAUGUAGUUGCAUCGAGCUAAAUGGGGUGGUUCAUGAAUUUAUCGUGAAGGACAAGUCACAUACAGACAGUGAUGCUAUCUAUGACUGCUUGCAUGAUAUCACACAACAAAUAAGGCACACUGCAAACAUGAUUGACAUUUGUGCAACUGGCUGA